rnacentral:rRNA from 1 species
UCUUGGUCAUUUAGAGGAAGUAAAAGUCGUAACAAGGUUUCCGUAGGUGAACCUGCGGAAGGAUCAUUAUUGAAUGAACUUGGUGUGGUUGUCGCUGGCACUCUAGGGGGCAUGUGCACACCCACCUUUCUCAUCUUUCUACCUGUGCACUUUUUGUAGACUUGGAUUGAUUUUCCGAGGCAACUCGGUUCGGGAGGGCUGCUGGGCUCGUAGAGCCGGGCUUUCCUUGCAUGUCCAAGCCUAUGUUUUCUCAUAUACCCCAUUGUAUGUAAUAGAAUGUAUCAUUGGGCCGUUGUGCCUAUAAACCUUGUACAACUUUCAGCAACGGAUCUCUUGGCUCUCGCAUCGAUGAAGAACGCAGCGAAAUGCGAUAAGUAAUGUGAAUUGCAGAAUUCAGUGAAUCAUCGAAUCUUUGAACGCACCUUGCGCUCCUUGGUAUUCCGAGGAGCAUGCCUGUUUGAGUGUCAUUAAAUUCUCAACCUUAUUAGCUUUUGCUGAUAAUGGCUUGGAUGUGGGGUUGCUGGCUUCUUUGUAGAUAGCCAGCUCCCCUUAAAUGUAUUAGCUGGUGCGCCCUGCGUGGACUGUCUAUUGGUGUGAUAAUUAUCUACGCCGUGGAUGUUUGCAAUUAUAUGGGGAUUGUACUGCUUCUAACCGUCUGUUCAUUUGGACAAUACGUGACAAUUUGACCUCAUCUC